rnacentral:lncRNA from 1 species
CGGAACGGAACUCAGUGGAGACAGCCUUCCCCGCGCUGGGCGAUUCUCAGCCUGAGGAACAGUUCUGGGGAACGCGCCGCCCCUCAGGAAUCCCAACAGCCGGCACGCGGCAGCAGUGCUGGGUAUCUGUCCUCAUCAUUGCGGUUUGUUUCUGGAGGAGCAGAUCUAAGGGAGAUCUUAUGUUAGCUCUGACUGACACGUGGCGGGCUUACUAGGCAGGCUUGCCCUGGGUGCCGGGCAGGUGCGGAGGGUGGAGUGGCUCCGUGCGUGGGGACAGCUGAGGGAUGCGGGAGCCCACUGCGGAGUCUGCGGCGAGUUGGUGUGGAAGCCAAGGGGCUGCGGGAGCUGAAGGAAGUGGACACCAGCGUCCAAAGGCAAAAGCAAGACCGAGCUCCUCCACCGAGAAAGCACCCCAAUCCCAGAUGUCCCUGGACCCCGGCAUGGGGUAGACAGGUGAAGAAUACAGUGGGGUGAAAUCCCAGUGGGAGAGCACUGGCGGACGAGUUGCUUUAGAAGGUGUGUGCAUCUU